GACCUGAUUGCACAACGGCUAGUGCGUCUGCAUUCAGUAUUCUGGAAAGAUAGUUUCUGCAGAGGAUCCCUGUUCGAUUCGGGGUCAGGUUA